rnacentral:tRNA from 1 species
GACCUUGUGGCCUAACGGAUAAGGUGUCUGACUUCGGAUCAGAAGAUUGCAGGUUCGAGUCCUGCCAGGGUCG